AUACCAUGGUGUGGACACUUCCUCAACAACUCCUUGAGUCUUUCCCAUGCUUCACUAGUGAUAUCAUCUUUCAAUUGCUGAAAAGACAUGAUCUCACUUUGAAACU